GAUUUUUGUUGAGCUUCACACUUGCAGAGGAUCAGAAAACAAAACCAGGAGGCACGUAAAUGUUUCUUCUCCAUGAUGUUUCUUCAAAUGUUUCUUCUGGAUGAUGAGAAGACUGUGACACGGGAUGCCACCUUUGGUCUUGUGAUAAAGCAAAGCUCAGGAAGAAGUGUGAUUAAAUGGUACCCACAUGUUGAGAAGGAUGUACAGGGGCACCUGCAGCCAAAUCCAAGCUUCAGAGCGGCAGUUUGUGCUCACAGAUGGUGACGGUGUGGAGAGACGGUGGUGUUUCCUCAGAAGAACCAGCAGAGUCACAAAGGACACCAGUCCAUCUCACCACCUUGACUUGCUGACUGAUGCUCGUCUGCACUGCACAGAGGAAAUCAACUGACUGAGAUGGGCAGUAUAUCAGUCUUGGACUGUCUAACCUGCCGGAGCAGCACUGAAUGACCACCACACAUGAGCAUGUUCCUGCAACAUUCAGCAUCUGAUCCUUCAUCUGUGUGCUGCUGCUUUUGUGUCAAAUGUCAAACAGCUGGAGAGGAAACUACACCAGUGUACUGGGAUGUUUCAGCAACACGUGCCAGAUGCUGUUCCUUCAUGGUGACAUCACCAGAGACAGUCCCGCCCACCUCAGGACCUCGCCAUUGAUCAUGAUGAUUAUAAUGAUGACAGCGAGCGGAACUAAGACUGUAAAAAUCCACGACCAGAAUGUUUAGAUGCUUUCUAAUUAUUAAUGAAUACUGAGUUUUUGUCUCUCCCUUUUUUUUUUUUUACCUCAUUUGUUACUAACAAAGUUCACCAAACUCACACAGUUUACAUUCCGUAUAUUUCCAUCAAGGUUUAUUUUCUUAGAAAUCAUCGUUUUUCUCCUUUUCUCUUUUGUAAUUGAUGAUAAUUCAGUGAAUAUACUGCGCUGCUUCCUUUUAUUGCGUCACACAUUGCUUUAAGUUUUUCAGAGUCCAGUUAUUUUUUUACUGCUGUUUGAAUUCUCUGUAUGUUUGACCCUGUAGACUGUUUGAUGGACUGCUUGUCUUCCUGUUUGUAACCGCCGCCUGUUUUUGACUAAAGAUUUGGAUUUCUGACUUUAACACAGCCUCUGCAUGUCCUCCCUUUGUGUCCUCUUCCUCUGUGAAUGUGUUGCAUGUGAGAUUCAUUUUAUUAACAGCUUUCCCACAGUGAGUUGCAUCAGCAUUCAUUCACAGCACAUUUCAGAAGGAUUCAGAUUAAUAGAGUGAUCUUAUAGUCAG
ensembl:lncRNA